GACCUGCGGAAGGAUCAUUAUCGAAUAAUAAAAAACUGGUGGGGGACUGUAGCUGGUCACAUUUUGGGACAUGUGCACGUCUCCUACUGUUUUGUCUAUCCACCUGUGCAUCAAUUGUAUAGAUAUCCUAGGAAUUUUAGAGACCUCGAAUGAGGGCUCUUGUUUAUCGAUCUAGGUUGUCUAUAUGAAUUUAUUAUAAUACAUAAAUGAAUUUGAAUGUUUUGAUGAAUUAUAUAAAGUACAACUUUCAACAACGGAUCUCUUGGCUCUCGCAUCGAUGAAGAACGCAGCGAAAUGCGAUAAGUAAUGUGAAUUGCAGAAUUCAGUGAAUCAUCGAGUUUUUGAACGCAUCUUGCGCUCCUUCCGAGGAGUAUGCCUGUUUGAGUGUCAUUAAAUUAUCAAAAUUGCUCCAAUUUUGUUGGAGUGGUUUUGGAGUGUCUGGGAGUUUGCAGGUCCAUCGAACCGAAGGGCGAGCUCUCCUGAAAUGAAUUAGUGGGGCUGGAUUGGGCCUAAUUAGUGUGAUAAAAGAGAAAUUGAUCACUAGAAAAAGGGCUCUACCUGGCUUUGCUGAUUGCUUAUACUAGCUUGGCUAGAAAAUAAUGAUGAAAUCGACCUCAAAUCAGGUAGGACUACCCGCUGAACUUAAGCAUAUCAAUAA
rnacentral:rRNA from 1 species